UCCGAGACCCCCCCAGGUUGGGGCGCUUGUAGGAGGAGGACACGGAGCUGCCCGAACCCCGCGACCACGACUGCGAGCGGAAGCCGCUGGACGGGGAGGCGCUGGCGCGGCUCCCCUCCCGCAGCGGCCCUGCGGAGCGGAGCGCGGUGCAGCAGCGCCCGGCGGACCCCUCAGGACCGGGGCCAGGGGCCGGGGCUCCCUGGCGGCUUCAGCACCGCGGGCAGCUCCGGCGGGCGGUGCCGGGGGCGAGAAGCAGGCAGAGGGGUCCCAAGAUGCAGUCCCCUGCCCCGGGCCCGAGCUGACAUCUGAAGGUCAGGAGCUGCGGGGCGGGAGCUAGCGCGGCCCGGAGCUGCGCUGCGGCACCGAGCGCUCCCCUCCGCGGCUUCGCCUCCCCUCGGGCUGCGGGACGGGCUCGGGAAGGGGCUCCGCGGGAGGAGGCUGCAUGCAGCCGCUGCAGUGCGGGAAACUGGAGUUGGGAAGAGGUCGUCCCCACCCUGCCCCGCCUCAGCAUCCCAAAACCUUCCUUUGGAUUCUUCUUUCCCUUUUCUCUUCCUUCCUCUCUUCCCCUCCCGCCCGCAGCUGUUCCCCCAGCGCUUGGUGCAUUGCUCAGCAAUAAACUCCCUUGCUCGGA